rnacentral:tRNA from 1 species
GCCAAGAUAGUUUAAACAAAACAUCGGUCUUGUAAGCCGAAGCCGAGGACUAGACCCCUCUCUGGGCA